UACGUAGGGGGCAAGCGUUGUCCGGAAUCAUUGGGCGUAAAGCGCGCGUAGGCGGCCCGGUAAGUCCGCUGUGAAAGUCCAGGGCUCAACCCUGGAAAGCCGGUGGAUACUGCCGGGCUAGAGUCCGGAAGGGGCGAGUGGAAUUCCUGGUGUAGCGGUGGAAUGCGCAGAUAUCAGGAGGAACACCAAUAGCGAAGGCAGCUCGCUGGGACGGUACUGACGCUGAGACGCGAAAGCGUGGGGAGCGAACAGG
rnacentral:rRNA from 1 species